UAGUUAUGUGCGGACGGGAUAAGCGCUGAAAGCAUCUAAGCGUGAAGCCCCCUCCAAGAUGAGACUUCCCACAGCGCAAGCUGGUAAGACCCCUCAUAGACGAUGAGGUUGAUAGGUUCGAUGUGGAAGCGCGGUAACGCGUGGAGCUGACGAAUACUAAUCGGUCGAGGACUUAUCCACACAUUCU
rnacentral:rRNA from 1 species